UGCCCAGGGGAUCAGCCUUCCCUGGGAGAGAAGACUGCUCUGGGAUGGGCUCUCCUUGGCAGGCACAGGCCAAAGGCAGAAAGGACAGUUUCUACUGGGCAAAGCUGUGUCUCAGCAGGCUCCCAGUUUCACCACCAGAAAGCUGGAUGUCCAGAUGUAUUUGGGGACUUUGAGAUAACCUCAGCAUCAGUGGAAUCUGGGCCAAAGACCACUUCCAUGGAAGUCUUAUCCUCAACUCUGUAACAGGUGUGUUUGAGAACCAGCUCUGAUCUCCAGGUGAGGAGAAUCAGAAGAUAAGCAUCUAUCACUGGCAAGUCUGUAUCACAGAGGAUGCAGUCCGGCACAUCUUUUCCUGCAGUCCUUAUCUCUGACCAAAGACCACCAGAAAAUGCACUUUUCCAGCCUGUUUGUUUUGAGAUUCAACCUAUGCCUUUACAAGGUAAUCUUUGAUGUGCCACGCAGAACAGUAGCACGUUCGAACAACAAAAGGACAACUGGAGGUCCGUAGAACUGAACUGGCAGCAGUGACACCUCUGCAGCAAUUUCUUUCCAGUUCAGGAUUUUCCUGCACUACGGUACUAGCUAAUAUGUGCAAACAGAACAGAUGUGGCUUUACUGUCCCGGAUUUAUUAAAUAAAUGCAAUGGAACUGUGCUAGUAUCUCACCUGGAAGCU